UUCGACCUGAACUCAGACGUGACA
rnacentral:rRNA from 3 species